CCCGGACACCUUGUCCCCAACACCAGGACACCUCAUCCCCAAAACACCCGGACACCUCCAUCCCCCAACGCCCGGACACCUCGUCCCCCAACACCCGGACACCUUGUCCCCAAACACCAGGACACCCUGUCCCCCAACACCUGGACACCUCAUCCCCAAAACGCCCGGACACCUCCAUCCCCCAGCACCCAGAGACCCUGUCUACAAACACCUGCACACCUUGUCCCCCAACACCCAGACACCUUGUCCCCCAACACCCAGACAUCUCCAUCCCCCAGCACCCACAGACCCUGUCUACAAACACCCAGAGACCCCAUCCACAAACACCCGGACGCCACCAUUCUCCAAGACCUGAAAAUCCCAGUCCUCCAUAUCCCCAACACCUGGACACCCCAGUCUCUCAACACCUGGACGUUUCCAUUCUCCAAGACCUGAACAUCCUGACACCCCAUCUCUUGACACCCGGACACUCCAGUCCUCCAACACCUGGACAUCUCCAUUCUCCAAGACCUGCACAUCCUGAUGCCCCAUCUCCCGACACCUGGACACCCCAGUCCUCCAACACCUGGACGUCUCCAUUCUCCAAGACCUGCACAUCCUGAUGCCCCAUCUCCCGACACCUGGACACCCCAGCCCUCCAAAACCUGACACCCCAGUCCCUCAACACCUGGACUUCUCCA
rnacentral:lncRNA from 1 species